rnacentral:rRNA from 1 species
AAUGGGCGCAAGCCUGACCCAGCAACGCCGCGUGAAGGAAGAAGGCUUUCGGGUUGUAAACUUCUUUUAGCAGGGACGAAACAAAUGACGGUACCUGCAGAAUAAGCUCCGGCUAACUACGUGCCAGCAGCCGCGGUAAUACGUAGGGAGCAAGCGUUAUCCGGAUUUACUGGGUGUAAAGGGCGCGUAGGCGGGACUACAAGUCAGAUGUGAAAUCUGGGGGCUCAACCCCCAAACUGCAUUUGAAACUGUAGUUCUUGAGUGAUGGAGAGGCAAGUGGAAUUCCUAGUGUAGCGGUGAAAUGCGUAGAUAUUAGGAGGAACACCAGUGGCGAAGGCGACUUGCUGGACAUUAACUGACGCUGAGGCGCGAAAGCGUGGGGAGCAAA